UCCGGUUUGACACCGGCAGUCUCGCUAGAGUCCUCAGCAUUACCUGGUAGCAACUAACGACAGGGGUUGCGCUCGUUAAGGGACUUAACCCGACACUUCACAGCACGAGCUGACGACAGCCAUGCAGCACCUGUGCAUGUUCCACCCUUGCGGGUGUCAUCCGGCUUUCACCGGACUAAUCCAUGCAUGUCAAACCCAGGAUAAGGUUCUUCGCGUUGCUUCGAAUUGAGCCACAUGCUCCACCGCUUGUGUGAGCCCCCGUCAAUUCCUUUGAGUUUUAGCCUUGCGACCGUACUCCCCAGGCGGUGCACUAAGUACUUUCGCUUCGAUCGAGAGAGUGUCAGAACUCCCACGACCUAGUGCACAUCGUUUAGGGCGUGGACUAC
rnacentral:misc_RNA from 1 species